rnacentral:rRNA from 1 species
UACGUAGGGGGCAAGCGUUGUCCGGAAUCAUUGGGCGUAAAGAGCGCGUAGGCGGCCAGAUAAGUCCGGUGUGAAAGUCACAGGCUCAACCUGUGAAUGCCGCUGGAAACUGUCUGGCUAGAGUCCGGAAGAGGAGAAUGGAAUUCCUGGUGUAGCGGUGAAAUGCGCAGAUAUCAGGAAGAACACCCGUGGCGAAGGCGGUUCUCUGGGACGGUACUGACGCUGAGACGCGAAAGCGUGGGGAGCGAACAGG